ensembl:lncRNA
GCAUACUUUACAUUGGUCAGGAGAAAACCAACUCCAGAAUGUUUGUAUUGAGAGUCUGUGGGAGUUACCAGGUAAACUCCCGUCUGUUUGCUUUUUAAUGACAGUGCUAAUGAAACACACACUGCACAGCACUCACUGCCUGGCUGGGUGGUUUGGGGGGCAGUGUGUGUGUGUGUGUGUGUGUGUGUGUGUGCGUGUGUGCGUGUGCGUGUGGUGUGUGUGUGUGUGUCCGGGCCUGGCAGUCUACAGGCAGUGUGGUACACUGUAGCUCAUUCAUGGCAGGCAGGUUCUGGGGUCAGGCCUGUGGAUGGAGGGGUGUGUGGCUGAGACACACUAAUUAAUGGCCCAUGGAGUGAGAGGGCCUCUGUGCUACAGGCACCCAGGGGCCAGAGGCCUCCCAAAACCACAGCUCCAUGAGGCUACUUUACCCUUCCCCACCAGUUGGCAGCAGGGAGGGUGGCCUGGCCUGUGGGGCACGGUGAGGAGGCUGGUGGAGGGAGGCCGGCCUGGCCUGUGGGGCACGGUGAGGAGGCUGGUGGAGGUAGGCUGGCCUGGCCCGGCCUGGCCUGUGGGACACGGUGAGGAGGCUGGUGGAGGUAGGCUGGCCUGGCCCGGCCUGGCCUGUGGGACACGGUGAGGAGGCUGGUGGAGGUAGGGUGGCCUGGAGGGGGGCACCAUUUUUUUUACCUUUAUUUUACUAGGCAAGUCAGUUAAGAACAAAUUCUUAUUUUCAAUGACGGCCUAGGAACAGUGGGUUAACUGUUCAAGGGCAGAACGACAGAUUUUGUACCUUGUCAGCUUGGGGAUUUGAACUUGCAACCUUUCGGUUACUAGUCCAAUGGUCUAACCACUAGGCUACACUGCCGCCCCGCACCAUACAGACUCCUCCACCACUGGUCCAGAUAGACCCCUCUUUGUAAACAUGAGGCACUGCCUUAUGACAUCACAUCCUGUCAUCCUUGGGCAUGUAUCUUGUUGAGACUGUACUUGAAUGUUUAUUUGAGGAGAAUGUUUGAAGUCACCCUUGACUCAGUGAGAGAGCGAGAGAGACCUGGUGUGUG